UACGGGGGGGGCAAGCGUUGUUCGGAAUUACUGGGCGUAAAGGGCUCGUAGGCGGCCCACUAAGUCAGACGUGAAAUCCCUCGGCUUAACCGGGGAACUGCGUCUGAUACUGGAUGGCUUGAGUUUGGGAGAGGGAUGCGGAAUUCCAGGUGUAGCGGUGAAAUGCGUAGAUAUCUGGAGGAACACCGGUGGCGAAGGCGGCAUCCUGGGCCAACACUGGCGCUGAGUGAGCGAAAGCCAGGGGAGCAAACGGG
rnacentral:rRNA from 1 species